rnacentral:tRNA from 1 species
GCUUCUGUGGUCUAGUUGGUUAUGGCGUCGGUCUCAUAUCUCUUAUGACGCUUUCCUGAAGCGGAAAUCCGAAGGUCGGGAGUUCGAUCCUCCCCGGGAGCA